rnacentral:rRNA from 1 species
UUUUAUCGGAGAGUUUGAUCCUGGCUCAGGACGAACGCUGGCGGCGUGCCUAAUACAUGCAAGUCGAGCGGAUUGAUGGGAGCUUGCUCCCUGAUAUCAGCGGCGGACGGGUGAGUAACACGUGGGUAACCUGCCUGUAAGACUGGGAUAACUCCGGGAAACCG